AGGCCUGUAGCUCUAACGGUAGAGCGGCGGACUCCAAAUCCGUAGGCUGGAGGUUCAAAUCCUCCCAGGCCUG
rnacentral:tRNA from 1 species